UCGGGAAUUUUGGGCAAUGGGCGAAAGCCUGACCCAGCAACGCCGCGUGAAGGAUGAAGUAUUUCGGUAUGUAAACUUCGAAAGAAUAGGAAGAAUAAAUGACGGUACUAUUUAUAAGGUCCGGCUAACUACGUGCCAGCAGCCGCGGUAAUACGUAGGGACCAAGCGUUGUUCGGAUUUACUGGGCGUAAAGGGCGCGUAGGCGGCAAUUCAAGUCAUCUGUGAAAUCUCCGGGCUUAACUCGGAACGGUCAGAUGAUACUGCUUUGCUAGAGUGCAGAAGGGGCAAUCGGAAUUCUUGGUAUAGCGGUGAAAUGCGUAGAUAUCAAGAGGAACACCUGAGGUGAAGACGGGUUGCUGGGCUGACACUGACGCUGAGGCGCGAAAGCCAGGGGAGCAAACGGGAUUAGAUACCCAAGUAGUCCCUGAGCGGGCUGGCAAGGCGCAU
rnacentral:rRNA from 1 species